UCCUGAUUUGAUGAGCUUGGCGUUGGGUCAGUGUCAAAAACUUAAGGCGCCAAUUUGUUGUUAUGAUGAUCGGUUUUCGUAGUCCACCCAUUUUUGUGUCCCAUAGCUUCUCAUCAAUGUCCAUGGCGGAUCUUGAGGCUCAAACCUCGACUAACCCAAGCAAUUUCAGAUAGAGAGACCGCCACACUUAAACCAUCGCAAUGCUCAUUCAAGCUCACUCCCCAAACCCACAUGUCUUCUUUCUUCCCAGAAGCCCUUCAAUUUCCCGCCAUUUAUCCGUCCAUGUUUCUCAUUCACGUGGACUCAAAGCGCCGAUGGGGCGACGAAAUGAACCAUUGUCUAGGAUUUCGGCUUCGGGGGAGCACAGUCCAACCACCAAUUCGGGGAAGAAAAGAAAGGUUUUCGAACACAUUUCUCUGCUCAAAGCGAGGGAAAAUAUUUCAGAAGAAGAAGAGAACGAUCUGCUUGAUUAUCUCUAUACCACCCAGUAUCAAAUGCGGGGCAUUGUUGCCGUUUCAUUAGGACGUGCCUGUGGCCAAAAUAGUGAAAGCUAUACCCAUGGUGUGUAUAUGCGUUUCCAACGAAAGGAAGACCUUGAAAAAUUCUAUGUGAACCCUUUCUACUCGCGAGUACUAAAUGAGCAUGUGAUGCCUUAUUGUCAUGGAUUGAUUCAUGUAGAUUAUGAAUCAGAGGUGGAAGAUGACAUGCUUCCCAUAUUUCGGAAAGGAGAGGAGUUCAAUUAUGGUGUGGAGUUUGUGCUUCUCAUUAAAUUUCUUCAAGAUUCAUUUGGAAAACCUUUAGAAGACGCAUUAAAUUCUCUCGAGCAACUGGCAAUUGAUAACCCUUCUUUAAUUGUCCAGUUUACACAAGGUUUAAAUUUUAAUCCCAGUUGUAAGGAGUUCACACAUGGAGUUGUUAUACGAUUUCGGUCAAUUGAAGCCUUCGAGAUGUUUACAGGCAGCUCAGAUUACAAAGAUAUGUGGAGGUCUAAGUUUCAACCAAUCAUCCAGAAAACAGUGUCUCUUCACUUCUCUGUUGACCCAGUAGGGACUGAGAUCAUGUAGCAAGGAGUAUUCUUGGUUUGUUCCCUAUACAUCAUCCAUCUCGAGUGACCCGUAGAAGAUGGUAGGCUCAAUAUGAUUUGAGUGAACUUUUGUGGCAGGUUUUGGUACCAGACUUGGUUUUACUCUUAACAAGCGUAAGGACAAGUAUAUUGUUUUGUAUUUUUGACGUUUCAGAUCCGAUGUCCUAUUCCUCUCUAUUUUAUCUUUCGUCAUCACGCCAUUUGUUAAUUUCUAUGCAAUUCAAUCUGAUAGAGGUAUGUGGAUUUCUGAAAUUAUCUUUCUGCUUGAAUGGUAUUGCAAUUCUGCUUCCUCCCAUUGAAUAUGUCCUAAAAUUAUUCUAUGGGAUUAGGAUAUUCUGAUGAUAAAGUCAUAUUUGGUUGACUGUAUGAUAUUCUAAAGUCGUUCUAUUUUUAUGGAAACCUGAGAUAGGUUACGAACUUGGAUUUUUCACUAACCAAUACGACAACUUUGGUGAAAAUAACAAACGAUGUAAAAACCUCUUCUAUGGUGUGCAUAUGGACAAUCAAAUCUGAAGAUGAGCUUUUACUGAUGUUGAAUCCUUACCAAAGAGAUAUAUCAGGAGAAUGACUCCUACUGUUGCCUGAUAUGAUAUAUCUUUUCAAUAUUUAAGGCACAACCCAAGCAAUCUUAUGUGUGUUUGGUUUAAAAUCAUGAGGAUUGCCUCUUGGAAUCUUUCAUGUAUUGUUUGGCCUUGUAUUGUAAACGGGAAAAACAGUAGAAUUCAGAAGUGCGACUCAUUUUGUCGACGACUUAAAUAACUAUAUAUCAUUUUGUUCACUCUUCUAAAGUCAGCAUUUAAAUGACUUGAACUCCAUCUCAUUGUUCAGGCUUGGCUACCAUUAAUCUGACAUGAAGACCGAAACAGGAGGUACAGGUUAUUGCGUUUGAUUUCUAGCUUGUAACGUUCUCAACACCCACUCACUUGGAUGGAUAACUCUCUGUCAACAUCUUUCUCUCUUUGGAUGGAAGCAAAAAGGGCCUAAAACAAAUCCAGAUGGGCGUGUCUGAGGGAGCUCACAAGUUUGGAUAGAGACCAAAGCUCUUAAACGACCGAUCCGAUAAAACAACUCAAAAGAUAAAGAAGUAUAGCUAACUUUUUCAAAGAGGGACACAUAGAUUGAGUAGUAAAUUGAUGAAGGGGGCCAUGUAGCAAUUGAAAAUUGGUAUCAAUCUCCCUUAUGGCUCAUACUUGCUCAUUGAUGGGUUGUGCAUGAAACCAUCCAUUUUCAUUUAUUCUUCAUAGUAACCAUUUAUAAAUCAAACAAUUUCUCUUAUUCAUU